GAUGAACGCUGGCGGCGUGCCUAAUACAUGCAAGUCGAGCGAACGGACGAGAAGCUUUCUUCUCUGAUGUUAGCGGCUGACGGGUGAGUAACACGUGGAUAACCUACCUAUAAGACUGGGAUAACUUCGGGAAACCGGAGCUAAUACCGGAUAAUAUUUUGAACCGCAUGGUUCAAAAGUGAAAGACGGUCUUGCUGUCACUUAUAGAUGGAUCCGCGCUGCAUUAGCUAGUUGGUAAGGUAACGGCUUACCAAGGCAACGAUGCAUAGCCGACCUGAGAGGGUGAUCGGCCACACUGGAACUGAGACACGGUCCAGACUCCUACGGGAGGCAGCAGUAGGGAAUAUUGCGCAAUGGGCGAAAGCCUGACGGAGCAACGCCGCGUGAGUGAUGAAGGUCUUCGGAUCGUAAAACUCUGUUAUUAGGGAAGAACAUAUGUGUAAGUAACUGUGCACAUCUUGACGGUACCUAAUCAGAAAGCCACGGCUAACUACGUG
rnacentral:rRNA from 1 species